UACGUAGGGGGCGAGCGUUGUCCGGAAUCAUUGGGCGUAAAGCGCGUGUAGGCGGCUCGAUAAGUCCGGUGUGAAACCUUGGGGCUCAACCCCAAGCCUGCACUGGAUACUGCCGAGCUAGAGUCCGGGAGGGGAGAGCGGAAUUCCUAGUGUAGCGGUGAAAUGCGCAGAUAUUAGGAAGAACACCGGUGGCGAAGGCGGCUUCCUGGACCGAUACUGACGCUGAGACGCGAAAGCGUGGGGAGCAAACAGG
rnacentral:rRNA from 1 species